UACGGGGGGGGCAAGCGUUGUUCGGAAUUACUGGGCGUAAAGGGCUCGCAGGCGGCCGACUAAGUCAGACGUGAAAUCCCUUGGCUUAACCAAGGAAUGGCGUCUGAUACUGGACGGCUUGAAUUCGGGAGAGGGAUGUGGAAUUCCAGGUGUAGCGGUGAAAUGCGUAGAUAUCUGGAGGAACACCGGUGGCGAAGGCGGCAUCCUGGACCGAUAUUGACGCUGAGGAGCGAAAGCCAGGGGAGCAAAGCGGG
rnacentral:rRNA from 1 species